AGGCCCCAGUGAGAUGAACCUGGUAUCUCAGUUGGAAAUGCAGAAAUCACCCGUCUUCUGCGUCGCUCACGCUGGGAGCUGUAGACUGGAGCUGUUCCUAUUCGGCCAUCUUCCGCUUUAAGUUUUUUAUAAUCUUUUUGGGAAGGAAAGGCCAUGUGAAAACAUGGCGAGAAGACAGUCAUCUGCAACCCAAGGAGAGAGACUUCACCAGACACUGACCCUGCUGGCACCUUGAUCUUGGACUUCCAGUGUUCAGAACUAUAAGAAAUAAAUUCCUGUUAUGUAAGGUGCCCAGUCCAUGGUAUUUUGUUGUAACAGCCUGAGCUGUUGAAGAUGGAUUUUCCUUUCAAGAUCAGAUCUUGGGCCUCAGAGUCAGCCUCACUAUAGAAAGCAAGGGCUAGUCUCAGCUUCCCACAGAAGACUUGGUUUUAUUGGAGGCAAGUUUUGUCUUGCUUACAAUGAGGUUAUACAAAGCAUAACAAAAUUCACAUUUUGUUAAGUGACUACCAUAUGAUCACUCUGAAUUUUAUUUUACCUGUCAUUUCUCGGUAUCAAUAGGUUUUACUUCCCCUUGUUCUGGAUUUCAGUGAUUGAUGACUGAAUACAAUAAAUA
rnacentral:lncRNA from 10 species